UACGGGAGGCAGCAGUGGGGAAUAUUGCACAAUGGAGGAAACUCUGAUGCAGCAACGCCGCGUGAGUGAUGAAGGUUUUCGGAUUGUAAAGUUCUAUAUUAUGGGACGAUAAAGACGGUACCAUAGGAGGAAGCCACGGCUAACUACGUGCCAGCAGCCGCGGUAAUACGUAGGUGGCAAGCGUUGUUCGGAUUUACUGGGCGUAAAGGAUGGGUAGGCGGCUAGUUAAGUCAGAUGUGAAAUCCCCGGGCUUAACUUGGGGGGUGCAUUUCAAACAGGAUGUCUAGAGUGCAGGAGAGGAAGUAGGCGGAAUUAGUGUAGUAGCGGUGAAAUGCAUAUUUGUGUCUCAAGAACACCGAGAAGAAGGCAUUCUGGACUGUAACUGACGACAGGCAGGCAAGAAAGGGGGCGAUCAAACAGGAUUAGAUACCUUGUUCGUCCACUAAAUAAAGGAUGAUAGGUGGAGGUGGUAUAUACUCUUCAGGCCCCAG
rnacentral:rRNA from 1 species